GUGUCAGCAGCCGCGGUAAUAGGGAGGGUGCGAGCGUUAAUCGGAAUAACUGGGGGUAAAGGGCACGCAGGCGGUGACUUAAGUGAGGUGUGAAAGCCCCGGGCUUAACCUGGGAAUUGCAUUUCAUACUGGGUCGCUAGAGUACUUUAGGGAGGGGUAGAAUUCCACGUGUAGCGGUGAAAUGCGUAGAGAUGUGGAGGAAUACCGAAGGCGAAGGCAGCCCCUUGGGAAUGUACUGACGCUCAUGUGCGAAAGCGUGGGGAGCAAACAGG
rnacentral:rRNA from 1 species